CAUGCCAGGAAAGCAGAAAUAUGACGAAGCAGCAAACCGGAAGUGCCUGACAAGGGUGCAUUCUACUUGCACUUUCCAUAUGAAAACACGGGCAGCGGAGAUUGCAAUGUACAGCACAGAGGAGGGUAAUUAAGGAAAACCACAAAGGGAGUCAAGGCAAAUGGAUGAGGCAGGAUCAGAGGAGAAAAAGGGAAAAACUUUACAAUGUUGGUCUUGUCGCCGCCAUGGCCACCAUGCAGGAGACAGACAAUGUCCUAAAUUCAUGGCUGAUGCUACUCAAACAGAUCGCUUCAGAUGGGGCCAUGAAGACCCAAUGAGACAGUAUAUAGAGGAUAGGAAACGAAGACAGAAAGAAGAGAGGUAGAAUUCAGCAGCUGAAGGAUUUGAUAGAGCAGACAUCUUCAUCUUCAGACUCUGAUUUGAAUGGAGGAAGGAAAUCAUCUAAAAAGAAAAAACAUCACAAAAUGCGUAGGAAGAAGAAAGUAAAAAGAUUAAAAUCAUCUCAGGCUAGUGUGGAAUGUGACAAAGACAGGAAGGAAUCAAAGAGCCACAAGACUGAUAGAGAAUGUGAUAACAGCAACAAUAGGAGAGCUAAGCAUUGUAAUAAACACAAACAUCUAAGUGAUUCUGAUGAUAGAAAAAGGAAACACAAACAUCUGAGUGACACUGAGGACACAAAAAGGAGAAAGCAAGAACGCAAACAUUACAAAGAAAGGAAGAAAGACCACAAGUACAAGGUGAAGAAACAUCACAAAGGAAAACAUAAAAGGGAAUAUAAAUAAAAAACAUAAAGAUUG